rfam:Gymnopus luxurians FD-317 M1 unplaced genomic scaffold GYMLTscaffold_9, whole genome shotgun sequence.
GUCCCUGUCGAUUAGUGGUCAAAUCAUCACGUUGUGGUAACUAACGCAGCUGCAAACCGUGAAGCCGGGAGCUCGAAUCUCCCCAGGGACA